AGAAGACCAUACUCCUCAACCCAGUUUUCAAGGCUCUCUUCACUAGCAGUUGGAUUCCCACCUUCCAACUUUCUCUCAUAUGUUUCCAAUUUGUUCCUCAAGACCCAGCUUAGAGCCAGCUACACCUUGUAAGGGCCUCUGAAGCCUGGACUCUGGAGCAGGGACCCUGGGUAUGAACCCCUUCUGCCAGGUUCUAAGGGAAGUUCAGCUUUGGAGUCAUCUCCAAGGAAAAGAUCAAGGAGGAGAAAAGUAUCUAGAGAAUGCAUUGCCUAUGGUUGGAAGUGAAAUCCUGGAUUUCCUCAACAGCUUGGAGUCGGAGGGCUGUUGCUGUGGUUGUGAUUACAGCUGAAGUGCUGAAACCACUUAGUUUCUUGCCUAUGCUAUCAAACCUGAAUUCCAACUGGCCUCCUGGGCCCCUAUAUCUGAUAAUGGCACCACCACGCUCCCAGGUCCUCGGGGUCUAUAACGUUGAUGCUGACACAUAGUAGGUGCUCAAUAAAUAUUUCACGGCUGGAUGAACCUAAGCAGUUGCCAUGUCCUGUGACAUCUUUCUCUAUAAUUAUCUUCAAUCUGUCAUCCUUUCAUUCCCAUGGUUAUUACCUAUGGUGGAUUAAAGAUGGUCACAAGUUUUUUUCACAAUGCUCCCGUUGAGAUGUGGGGUGUAUGUCCCCAGCUCUUGAAUCUGAGUAGACUCUUUGAUUACUUGAACCAGUGGAAUGCAGUAGAAACGAUGUUCUGUCAGUCUGCGGGCCCAGGAUUUAAGAGGCUGGCAAUUUCCACUUCUUGCCUCUUGAAACUUUCACUCUUAAAGCCCCAGGCUGCCGAACAGGCCCUGGGACUGCAUGAAGAGGGAGAACAGCCCAACAGAGACCGGCCUUCUGCUAAGGGGCCAGAUAUAAGAGUGAAGCUAUCUUGGACCCUCCAGACCCUCCAAGCCUACCAGCUGAAUACCAUUAAGUGACUCCAGGUGGUGUUACGUGGAACAGAAGAAUCAUUCAGCUGAGUCCUGGAUCCAUCCUACACAACUGUAGCUGAGCCUGAAUUCCUCAUCUUCACGGUUGUAAGAUAUAAUGAAAUUGUUGUCAUUUUAAGCCAUUACAUUUUGGAGUGAUUUGUAAGUGCAGCAAUAAAUAACCAGAAUAUUACCCUACUUGGGACCUUAUAACUUCUUACCUGGAAAACUGAUCCUUUCAUUAGUCUCCUGUCCUUCCAACCACGCUCUACCCUACUCAGUUUGUUUUCAUGGAGAAACUGUGUGGGGCUCCUGCUUUAAAAAAAAAAGAGUCAUUGUCAACAGAAUACACACUAAUCUCUUUAGUCGGCCCCCACUGGCCUUCUAAGAUCUGUCUCUGAACUCACCUUUCCAAGCUCUCCUCUUCUUCCCUCACAUUUCUUAUGCUCCAACCAAAUUCAACUGUUGGCCUAACCCCUUGACACUCCAUGAUUUUGAUUUUGUCCCCACAGUUCCUCCUCCUGGAAUGUCCUUCCCCUCAUCCAUGUAUGUCCACAUCCUGCUUGCCUCCCAAAGACAGCCAAGAAUAUCAAUCUCUCUGGUGGAAAUAAUCUCUCUCCUGAAUUUCCACAGCAUCUUAUCUGGGCCUCUCAUCAAAC
ensembl:lncRNA